rnacentral:lncRNA from 1 species
GUUGUCAAAAUGAUAACGUGAGUGGUAAAGGAAGAUGUCUUAGCUGGGCAGCUCCUUAAGCUGUGACUCUAGGUUUCUAAUGAUUUUCUUGAAUGUCAUUCCAGUUGGGGGCACAUAUUUUAGAGAUUGGAUUAUUUCCUUCCUCCCACUGAAGGCUGAGAAGAUAUGCGUUUAAGCAAAUUCUUUCAAGAUCUGUAAAGGUCAUAUGGUGUUUGCCCAUUUGUGAUGUGCUAGAUCUGAAGAUCCUUUUGGACAAGUUGGCUGUUACCUCGUGGGGUAUUUCAUCCUCUGAGAUGGAAGCAGGAAUAUAAAAAUCUGCUUAUCAGGGCAAUGGUCAUUUAAGGAACAGAGAAGAAAGGCAAUUCUUUUUCCUGAUUUGCUGAAAUAAUUAAUGGGGGUUAAAGACGAACUAAAGCUAUUUUAUUGGAGACUCAAGCCUCCAGGUUUCCUGCCUGUUUCUCCCAAGAAUGAUUUUUGCAUUAGGUGGGCUGUACUAUUGGAGUGAAAGGUGCAUCUCUACAGAAACAGAUGUUAGU